GCCUCCGUAGCUUAGUAGGUAGAGCGUGCGGCUGUUAACCGCAAGGUCACCAGUUCGAGUCUGGUCGGGGGCGCCA
rnacentral:tRNA from 1 species